GACGAACGCUGGCGGCAUGCCUAACACAUGCAAGUCGAGCGGAGCGGCGGACGGGUGAGUAAUGCCUAAGAAUCUGCCUGGUAGUGGGGGAUAACGUUCGGAAACGGGCGGUAAUACCGCAUAAUAUCAGAUGAGCCUAGGUCGGAUUAGCUAGUUGGUGGGGUAAAGGCCUACCCAGGCGACGGUCCGUAACUGGUCUGAGAGGAUGAUCAGUCACCCUGGAACUGAGAAACGCUCCAGGCUCCUACGGGAGGCAGCAGUGGGGAAUCUUGGACAAUGGGCGAAAGCCUGAUCCAGCCAUGCCGCGUGUGUGAAGAAGGUCUUCGGAUUGUAAAGCACUGUAAGUUGGGAGGCGUUACCAACAGAAUAAGCACCGGCUAACUUCGUGCCAGCAGCCGCGGUAAUUC
rnacentral:rRNA from 1 species